GUGCUGGUGGUGUAAGGGGCAGCACCGCUGUCCGGAAGACAGAAGGUGCGGGUUCGAGUCCCGCCUGGUGCA
rnacentral:tRNA from 1 species